CCUACGGGAGGCAGCAGUGGGGAAUAUUGCACAAUGGGGGAAACCCUGAUGCAGCGACGCCGCGUGAGUGAAGAAGUAUCUCGGUAUGUAAAGCUCUAUCAGCAGGGAAGAAAAUGACGGUAUCUGACUUAGAAGCCCCGGCUAACUACGUGCCAGCAGCCGCGGUAAUACGUAGGGGGCAAGCGUUAUCCGGAUUUACUGGGUGUAAAGGGGGCGUAGACGGCGGCACAAGUCAGAAGUGAAAGCCCACGGCUUAACCAUGGUACUGCACUGGAAACUGUGGGUCUUGAGUGCGGGAGGGGCAAGCGGAAUUCCUAGUGUAGCGGUGAAAUGCGUAGAUAUAAGGAAGAACACCAGCGGCGAAGGCGGACGACUGGACCGUAACUGACGUUGAGGCUCGAAAGCGUGGGGAGCAAACAGGAUUAGAUACCCGUGUAGUC
rnacentral:rRNA from 1 species